GAUGAAGAACGUAGCGAAAUGCGAUAAGUAAUGUGAAUUGCAGAAUUCAGUGAAUCAUCGAAUCUUUGAACGCACAUUGCGCCCGCCAGUAUUCUGGCGGGCAUGCCUGUUCGAGCGUCAUUUCAACCCUCAGGCCCCCAGUGCCUGGUGUUGGGGAUCGGCCCAGCCUUCCUGUAAGGCCGCCGGCCCCGAAAUCUAGUGGCGGUCUCGCUGUAGUCCUCCUCUGCGUAGUAGCACAACCUCGCAGUUGGAACGCGGCGGUGGCCAUGCCGUUAAACACCCCUCUUCUGAAAGUUGACCUCGGAUCAGGUAGGAAUACCCGCUGAACUUAAGCAUAUCAAUAAGCGGAGGA
rnacentral:misc_RNA from 1 species